ACGCUCGACACCUACGGGAGCAGCAGUGGGGAAUAUUGCACAAUGGGGGAAACCCUGAUGCGGCGACGCCGCGUGGAGGAAGAAGGUCUUCGGAUUGUAAACUCCUGUUGUUGGGGAAAAAGAAGGAUGGUACCCAACAAGGAAGUGACGGCUAACUACGUGCUAGCAGCCGCGGUAAUCUGAGCGGGCUGGCAAGGC
rnacentral:rRNA from 1 species